CACAAAACUUACGUUCUUGGGUAUUCACCUAGACACCGUUACAUUACAGGCUAGUCUACCACGGGAGAAGGUGCGACAUAUCAUUGAGAUGGUAGAGUAUUUUCUGGUGAAGGACACGUGUACCAGGUCAGACCUACAAUCCUUACUGGGCACGUUGAACUUCGCCAUGAAAAUUAUUCCUCAAGGCCGGGCGUUCAUCUCAA